rnacentral:rRNA from 1 species
AGAGUUUGAUCCUGGCUCAGGACGAACGCUGGCGGCGUGCCUAACACAUGCAAGUCGAGCGAGGAAUUCACCUUCGGGUGAUGAACUAGCGGCGGACGGGUGAGUAACACGUGGGCAACCUGCCUCAUAGAGGGGAAUAGCCUUCCGAAAGGAAGAUUAAUACCGCAUAAGAUUGUAGUAUCGCAUGAUACAGCAAUUAA